CGGUGCCAUAGGCGUGAGAGAGAGAGAAGCAGCCUCUUCUGACACGGAACUGUGGAGGGAUCGGAUAGGUCGUUACAAAUUUCCCUUCCAUAUUUGUCUUGGGACGAUCAGAUCGGAUAAAAUUAUAAAAAUUAAUUUUUUCAUAUAAAUUAUUAUUUAUCUUUAAAUAAAAUUUAUAUAAAAUAGAUAAAAUCAAUUUUAUUGGAGUUAAAUUAGAUCAAAGAUGAAAUAGGAUAAAUUAUUAUCU
rnacentral:lncRNA from 1 species